UAAUUACUUGAAAGAUUUGGGUGCUGUUGCGAACGCAGUUUUAUCAUCCGCUUUUAGAGUUACUGAUGGGGGCUUGACAAGGAUUAGCAAGCAAAGGCGCUUGCUGGCAAGCCUGAGGACCUGAGUUCGAUCCCUGGGACCCACAUAAUAGAACUGAUUUUCCUACAAGUUACCCUGACUUCCACGAGGGUGAUGUGGCAUACACACACAACAAAUACAUACCACACACACACACACACACACACACACACUAAAUAAAUAAAUAAAUAAAUAAAUAAAUAAAUAUAAAAACUCACUGAUAGGAUUCUUAAGCAUUUUUACCACAUUUGCCAAAAUGCAUUCCUCAUACUUAACUUUUCUUUGCUUGGUCACAGCUCCUUGUAGAGGAUGUUGGUGAGCUGUCUUGGGGAGGUAAUUUCAUUCUUCAAAGAUAUAUACCCUAACUGUCUAAUCGUGCCUUCUGCUUGCCGUGGGUUAUGCAACAAGUCACCAGUCUUGUGAUCACGGAGUUGUUUGUCUUUACUGGUUUGACCUAGUCUAUAGAAGGGAGAGCUGUAUGCUGGGGGGAACGGAUUUUUUGUUUUUCAAGCCUGAUGAGAAAAAUGCAAGUCCAUAAAGGGAAAGUCGUGAGACCCAAUCACAGAAAGUCACGAGUGAAACUUGUCGGUCCUGUGAGAGGACUCAGCUGGUAACGGUGCUUGUUCUACAAGCCAGCAUCCCGAGACACCUGUAAAUGUGACAGAGAGAUCCGGCUCCACAAGGUUGUCCUCUGACCAUACAUGGACCGCCGACCCACGCACAUACAAUAACAGUGCAGUUUUUAAAAAAUAACUUGAAGACACAUAAAAAAUUCUAAAGCAAUUAAAUGGAAGAAGAUCCUUAAAAGCAACUAAAGGGAACGGCGACUUGUAGGGUCUGUGAACUUCCUGCAGCUGCUGUAAGAAACUGUCAUAACCAUCGGAAGAGUGGAUCUCCUCUCACAGGACCCGAGACAGCCAGUCAGACCCAGUGUUGCAACCCUCUGACAACUGGAGGCUGGCUAGGCUUGCUUCUCCCAUGUGGUGUCCUGCAGCUUGUGCCAACGAGACUUCAGGCUUUGCAUCUGUCCUCACUGAGCAUGUCUGUCUACGUUUCCGUUUUUUCAGGACAUGUCUGAUCAAGGUCCCAUCUUACUCAGGCAUGACCUCAUGUUGACUGACAUCUGUAAAAAGCCUUAUCCCAUAAGGUCACAUUGAAAGUAUUAGAGGCUGAGGGGACAUUAUUGGUACUCUAAAACUUACCCCAUGUUUACCACAUUAAAAUAACAGAUAUUUGU
rnacentral:lncRNA from 1 species